CCGAAUCGCGGUGAGGUUCUGUUUUGAGAGUGGGGUAGCUGGAAGAACUUUGCAACCCUUUAGGCACAACAUAUGCGACAACUUUUACCUCCUUAAAGGUGUAACUGUCCCACAUUUUUGAUUUUUUUAAAAGCGUGGCAAGAGAGUAAAGAACAUCAUGGGGCUUCGGAAUGAUCUAAUCAAAAUAAACGAUCAACAAAACAAACAUUGCGAUUAAAAAUCGAGAAGGAAAGGGUCACAGUAUAUCGUGUUCCAGGAAAAUAUAAUUGCGAACAUCGAGCGGGGAUGCGUCCGUGUGGAGAUAUACACUAUCGCCGCAGACACACAGUUGAGACCACACCGGCAAAAGCACUUGUAGGCUCGAGUAUGUUGUCGCCCUUGACCUUAUCGGCGCGCCUUUCACUGCGGAAGACAUCGUGUUACAGUCACUUGAAACAACAACUCGAAGGAUGUCCUGUGACGAUAGCGAAACUCAUCUCCAGGUCUGCCCCGUCUGUGUCUUUCAUAUCUCCGACUCCUUUUCUUUUUCUAUGGCAUGUGAAACGCUGACGGUGUGGGCAAGAUAACCAGCCUCGAAGAAGUGACGUCAACCACUCCUCUGGUGUCCGGGGGAGGGUAUUUAUAAGAGAGAUGAAGUAAUUGGCGACACACCAGGGGCUAGGAUUCACCUGACACGCACCGCGCAUCAAGAGGCAAUAUGCGCGUGAUCCUGGUGCUAUUUGCCAUCUUGGUCCUCCUUGCGGGAGCCAGCGAGGCACGCAGACGCCGGAAGGAUCGUGGCAGGACUGGAAGACCAACAACGCCCAGCGGCGACGACCGUCGUUACACUGAAUACCCGCCUGAGCGAGAUGGCAACGGACUAGAUGCUCGCGACGAUAUGGGUCAUCGAUCUCAUAGAAGCUGGUUCGGCGGCGGCCGUGGUGGUGGUGGUAGUGGUGGAGGAGGAGGAGGUGGAGGUGGCGGUUGGGGAGGAUGGGGCGGCUAUGGUGGAGGCGGUGGCUGGGGCAGUUCAGAGGCCGGUCGUGGCUAUGUGGACGAUCGUGUGUAUAGGGACGGCUAUGGCAGAGGUGGUGGUGGUGGUGGUGGAGGAUGGGGUAGAUGGGGUGGUGGUGGAGGCGGAGGUGGCCAUGGAAGAGACUACGGGUGGCGCCGCUCUGGCGAGUGGUAUUAGAGGUUUGUGGAAACAAGCAGCUGUCGUUACCGUGCGCGCAACCACUGCGGGAAAAAUGUAUUAUUCUGGUGCUCUCAAAGAUGCCAUCUUGCAUGCUGCGCUAGUUCGUCAGAAGGGAUAGCGCAAUUAGCUUAUGAUACCGUUGUCAUGUCGCCUCCAAUACACAGAGGCUUCGUUCUUCCAUUUUUAGUGCUGCCCUGACACCCCAUCCCUCACCCGUUGUCAUCCCGCACAACUUCAUUACUGUGGCACUUCGGUGCCUGCCAAGAACAACUGUUUUUUUUCUCUCUCUCUCUCUCUUCUGUUUGAUGACGAUACUGUAAUUGUGAUAAGUUCAAUAAAGCAAAGCUGACGCGCUUCCA